rnacentral:ribozyme from 1 species
UCAGGCGAAUGAGGAAAGUGCGACCACGAAAAAGACGGCUGGCUAGCGAAAAAAGGGCAUAUCAGUCAACGGAGAACAAAUCGCUGCAUUAAAAUUCACACUGAAACGGUGAAAGGGC